rnacentral:rRNA from 1 species
UACGUAGGCAGCAAGCGUUGUUCGGAAUUACUGGGCGUAAAGAGCGUGUAGGCGGUGCUCUAAGUUCGGUGUGAAAUCUCCCGGCUUAACUGGGAGGGUGCGCCGGAAACUGGAGUGCUUGAGCGUGGGAGAGGAAAGCGGAAUUCCUGGUGUAGCGGUGAAAUGCGUAGAUAUCAGGAGGAACACCGGUGGUGUAGACGGCUUUCUGGACCAUAGCUGACGCUGAGACACGAAAGCGUGGGUAGCAAACAGG